rnacentral:rRNA from 1 species
AGCGAACGCUGGCGGCAGGCUUAACACAUGCAAGUCGAGCGCCCCGCAAGGGGAGCGGCAGACGGGUGAGUAACACGUGGGAACGUGCCUUUUGGUUCGGAACAACCCAGGGAAACUUGGGCUAAUACCGGAUAAGCCCUUACGGGGAAAGAUUUAUCGCCAAAAGAUCGGCCCGCGUCUGAUUAGCUAGUUGGUGGGGUAAUGGCCCACCAAGGCUACGAUCAGUAGCUGGUCUGAGAGGAUGAUCAGCCACAUUGGGACUGAGACACGGCCCAAACUCCUACGGGACGCAGCAGUGGGGAAUAUUGGACAAUGGGGGCAACCCUGAUCCAGCCAUGCCGCGUGAGUGAUGAAGGCCUUAGGGUUGUAAAGCUCUUUUAGCAGGGAAGAUAAUGACGGUACCUGCAGAAAAAGCCCCGGCUAACUUCGUGCCAGCCGCUGCAGUAA